rnacentral:rRNA from 1 species
UGCAAGUCGAGCGGGGGAAGGUAGCUUGCUACUGGACCUAGCGGCGGACGGGUGAGUAAUGCUUAGGAAUCUGCCUAUUAGUGGGGGACAACAUCUCGAAAGGGAUGCUAAUACCGCAUACGUCCUACGGGAGAAAGCAGGGGAUCUUCGGACCUUGCGCUAAUAGAUGAGCCUAAGUCGGAUUAGCUAGUUGGUGGGGUAAAGGCCUACCAAGGCGACGAUCUGUAGCGGGUCUGAGAGGAUGAUCCGCCACACUGGGACUGAGACACGGCCCAGACUCCUACGGGAGGCAGCAGUGGGGAAUAUUGGACAAUGGGCGCAAGCCUGAUCCAGCCAUGCCGCGUGUGUGAAGAAGGCCUUAUGGUUGUAAAGCACUUUAAGCGAGGAGGAGGCUACUUUAGAUAAUACCUAGAGAUAGUGGACGUUACUCGCAGAAUAAGCACCGGCUAACUCUGUGCCAGCAGCCGCGGUAAUACAGAGGGUGCAAGCGUUAAUCGGAUUUACUGGGCGUAAAGCGCGCGUAGGCGGCUAAUUAAGUCAAAUGUGAAAUCCCCGAGCUUAACUUGGGAAUUGCAUUCGAUACUGGUUAGCUAGAGUGUGGGAGAGGAUGGUAGAAUUCCAGGUGUAGCGGUGAAAUGCGUAGAGAUCUGGAGGAAUACCGAUGGCGAAGGCAGCCAUCUGGCCUAACACUGACGCUGAGGUGCGAAAGCAUGGGGAGCAAACAGGAUUAGAUACCCUGGUAGUCCAUGCCGUAAACGAUGUCUACUAGCCGUUGGGGCCUUUGAGGCUUUAGUGGCGCAGCUAACGCGAUAAGUAGACCGCCUGGGGAGUACGGUCGCAAGACUAAAACUCAAAUGAAUUGACGGGGGCCCGCACAAGCGGUGGAGCAUGUGGUUUAAUUCGAUGCAACGCGAAGAACCUUACCUGGCCUUGACAUAGUAAGAACUUUCCAGAGAUGGAUUGGUGCCUUCGGGAACUUACAUACAGGUGCUGCAUGGCUGUCGUCAGCUCGUGUCGUGAGAUGUUGGGUUAAGUCCCGCAACGAGCGCAACCCUUUUCCUUAUUUGCCAGCGAGUAAUGUCGGGAACUUUAAGGAUACUGCCAGUGACAAACUGGAGGAAGGCGGGGACGACGUCAAGUCAUCAUGGCCCUUACGGCCAGGGCUACACACGUGCUACAAUGGUCGGUACAAAGGGUUGCUAACACAGCGAUGUGAUGCUAAUCUCAAAAAGCCGAUCGUAGUCCGGAUUGGAGUCUGCAACUCGACUCCAUGAAGUCGGAA